GGUUAAGUGACUAAGCGUACACGGUGGAUGCCUAGGCAGUUGGAGGCGAUGAAGGACGUACUAACUUGCGAUAAGCCAAGUCAAGCCAGUAAGAGGCGCUUGAGACUUGGAUUUCCGAAUGGGGAAACCCACCUAUUUAUAGGUAUCUUAUAGUGAAUACAUAGCUAUAAGAGGCGAACCGGGAGAACUGAAACAUCUAAGUACCCCGAGGAAAAGAAAUCAACCGAGAUUCCGUUAGUAGUGGCGAGCGAACGCGGACCAGCCCUUAAGCUGUGUUGUAGUUAGUGGAAUUUGUUGGAAAGCAAAACGAUACAAGGUGAUAGUCCUGUACACAAAAACUUAUAUGCAGUGAAAUCGAGUAGGACGGGGCACGUGAAACCUUGUCUGAAUAUGGGGGGACCAUCCUCCAAGGCUAAAUACUCCCAACUGACCGAUAGUGAACCAGUACCGUGAGGGAAAGGCGAAAAGAACCCCUGUAAGGGGAGUGAAAUAGAACCUGAAACCGUGUACGUACAAGCAGUAGGAGCCC
rnacentral:ncRNA from 1 species